rnacentral:rRNA from 2 species
AGAGUUUGAUCAUGGCUCAGAUUGAACGCUGGCGGCAGGCCUAACACAUGCAAGUCGAGCGGUAGCACAGAGAGCUUGCUCUCGGGUGACGAGCGGCGGACGGGUGAGUAAUGUCUGGGAAACUGCCUGAUGGAGGGGGAUAACUACUGGAAACGGUAGCUAAUACCGCAUAACGUCGCAAGACCAAAGUGGGGGACCUUCGGGCCUCAUGCCAUCAGAUGUGCCCAGAUGGGAUUAGCUAGUAGGUGGGGUAACGGCUCACCUAGGCGACGAUCCCUAGCUGGUCUGAGAGGAUGACCAGCCACACUGGAACUGAGACACGGUCCAGACUCCUACGGGAGGCAGCAGUGGGGAAUAUUGCACAAUGGGCGCAAGCCUGAUGCAGCCAUGCCGCGUGUGUGAAGAAGGCCUUCGGGUUGUAAAGCACUUUCAGCGGGGAGGAAGGCGNCGAUUGACGUUACCCGCAGAAGAAGCACCGGCUAACUCCGUGCCAGCAGCCGCGGUAAUACGGAGGGUGCAAGCGUUAAUCGGAAUUACUGGGCGUAAAGCGCACGCAGGCGGUCUGUCAAGUCGGAUGUGAAAUCCCCGGGCUCAACCUGGGAACUGCAUUCGAAACUGGCAGGCUAGAGUCUUGUAGAGGGGGGUAGAAUUCCAGGUGUAGCGGUGAAAUGCGUAGAGAUCUGGAGGAAUACCGGUGGCGAAGGCGGCCCCCUGGACAAAGACUGACGCUCAGGUGCGAAAGCGUGGGGAGCAAACAGGAUUAGAUACCCUGGUAGUCCACGCCGUAAACGAUGUCGAUUUGGAGGUUGUGCCCUUGAGGCGUGGCUUCCGGAGCUAACGCGUUAAAUCGACCGCCUGGGGAGUACGGCCGCAAGGUUAAAACUCAAAUGAAUUGACGGGGGCCCGCACAAGCGGUGGAGCAUGUGGUUUAAUUCGAUGCAACGCGAAGAACCUUACCUGGUCUUGACAUCCACAGAACUUNUUGGUGCCUUCGGGAACUGUGAGACAGGUGCUGCAUGGCUGUCGUCAGCUCGUGUUGUGAAAUGUUGGGUUAAGUCCCGCAACGAGCGCAACCCUUAUCCUUUGUUGCCAGCGGUUAGGCCGGGAACUCAAAGGAGACUGCCAGUGAUAAACUGGAGGAAGGUGGGGAUGACGUCAAGUCAUCAUGGCCCUUACGACCAGGGCUACACACGUGCUACAAUGGCAUAUACAAAGAGAAGCGACCUCGCGAGAGCAAGCGGACCUCAUAAAGUAUGUCGUAGUCCGGAUUGGAGUCUGCAACUCGACUCCAUGAAGUCGGAAUCGCUAGUAAUCGUAGAUCAGAAUGCUACGGUGAAUACGUUCCCGGGCCUUGUACACACCGCCCGUCACACCAUGGGAGUGGGUUGCAAAAGAAGUAGGUAGCUUAACCUUCGGGAGGGCGCUUACCACUUUGUGAUUCAUGACUGGGGUGAAGUCGUAACAAGGUAACCGUAGGGGAACCUGCGGUUGGAUCACCU